rnacentral:rRNA from 1 species
CCUACGGGAGGCAGCAGUGGGGAAUAUUCCGCAAUGGACGAAAGUCUGACGGAGCGACGCCGCGUGGAUGAAGAAGGCCGAAAGGUUGUAAAGUCCUUUUGUUGGGGAAGAAUAAGCGCGGGAGGGAAUGCCCGCGUGAUGACAUGAACCGACGAAUAAGCCCCGGCUAACUACGUGCCAGCAGCCGCGGUAACACGUAGGGGGCGAGCGUUGUUCGGAAUUACUGGGCGUAAAGGGCAUGUAGGCGGCCUUGUAAGCCUGGCGUGAAAGUCACCGGCUUAACCGGUGGAUUGCGUCGGGAACUGCAGGGCUUGAGUCACGGAGAGGGAGCUAGAAUUCCUGGUGUAGGGGUGAAAUCUGUAGAGAUCAGGAAGAAUACCAAUGGCGAAGGCAAGCUCCUGGCCGAUGACUGACGCUGAGGUGCGAAAGUGUGGGGAUCAAACAGGAUUAGAUACCCGGGUAGUC